rnacentral:rRNA from 1 species
UACGAAGGGGGCUAGCGUUGCUCGGAAUCACUGGGCGUAAAGGGUGCGUAGGCGGGUUUUUAAGUCAGAGGUGAAGUCCUGGAGCUCAACUCCAGAACUGCCUUUGAUACUGAAAGUCUUGAGUAUGGGAGAGGUGAGUGGAACUGCGAGUGUAGAGGUGAAAUUCGUAGAUAUUCGCAAGAACACCAGUGGCGAAGGCGGCUCACUGGCCCAUAACUGACGCUGAGGCACGAAAGCGUGGGGAGCAAACAGG